GACGAACGCUGGCGGCGUGCUUAACACAUGCAAGUCGAGCGGUAAGGCCCUUUCGGGGGUACGACGAGCGGCGAACGGGUGAGUAACACGUGGGUGACCUGCCCUCAGCUCUGGGAUAAGCCUGGGAAACCGGGUCUAAUACUGGAUAUGACUCCAUGACGCAUGUUGUGGGGUGGAAAGCCUUGUGCGGCUGAGGAUGGGCCCGCGGCCUAUCAGCUUGUUGGUGGGGUGAGGCCUACCAAGGCGACGACGGGUAGCCGGCCUGAGAGGGCGACCGGCCACACUGGGACGUGAGACACGGCCCAGACUCCUACGGGAGGCAGCAGUGGGGAAUCUUGCGCAAUGGGCGAAAGCCUGACGCAGCGACGCCGCGUGAGGGAUGACGGCCUCGGUUGUAACCGUACUUCUACGCUCGACGAAGCGAGAGUGACGGUAGGAGCGAGAAGAAGAC
rnacentral:rRNA from 1 species